rfam:Aedes aegypti strain Liverpool supercont1.127 genomic scaffold, whole genome shotgun sequence.
AAAACGGCCCUUUUCAGGGCCACUGCAAUGCAUUCGACGUAAAAGAGU